AUUGAACGCUGGCGGCAUGCCUUACACAUGCAAGUCGAACGGCAGCACGGGAGCAAUCCUGGUGGCGAGUGGCGAACGGGUGAGUAAAGUAUCGGAACGUGCCCAGUCGUGGGGGAUAACGUAGCGAAAGUUACGCUAAUACCGCAUACGAUCUAUGGAUGAAAGCGGGGGAUCGCAAGACCCCGCGCGAUUGGAGCGGCCGAUAUCAGAUUAGGGAGUUGGUGGGGUAAAGGCUCACCAAGCCGACGAUCUGUAGCUGGUCUGAGAGGACGACCAGCCACACUGGGACUGAGACACGGCCCAGACUCCUACGGGAGGCAGCAGUGGGGAAUUUUGGACAAUGGGCGAAAGCCUGAUCCAGCCAUGCCGCGUGCAGGAUGAAGGCCUUCGGGUUGUAAACUGCUUUUGUACGGAACGAAAAGGUUUGGCCUAAUAAGCUGAGCUCAUGACGGUACCGUAAGAAUAAGCACCGGCUAACUACGUGCCAGCCGCCGCAGUAA
rnacentral:rRNA from 1 species